ACCGUACUCCCUCCGUCCCAUAUCAAGUGUUGAAAUAUUACAUGUAUCUAGACGCUUUCUAACUAUAGAUACAUCCAUACUUGAUAAAUUUGAGACAUUUAAUAUGGGACGGAGGAAGUAUAUA
rnacentral:pre_miRNA from 1 species